rnacentral:tRNA from 1 species
GAGCCUGUGGCGCAGCCUGGUAGCGCACUGAAGCUAACUGAGAUUUGUUAACUGUGCAACUCUGAUAAGGCAGGGGCCGAGGGUUCAAAUCCCUUCAGGCUCA